rnacentral:rRNA from 1 species
GGGUUGUGAGGUUAAGCGACUAAGCGUACACGGUGGAUGCCCUGGCAGUCAGAGGCGAUGAAGGACGUGCUAAUCUGCGAAAAGCGUCGGUAAGGUGAUAUGAACCGUUAUAACCGGCGAUGUCCGAAUGGGGAAACCCAGUGCAAUUCGUUGCACUAUCGUUAACUGAAUACAUAGGUUAACGAGGCGAACCGGGGGAACUGAAACAUCUAAGUACCCCGAGGAAAAGAAAUCAACCGAGAUUCCCCCAGUAGCGGCGAGCGAACGGGGAGCAGCCCAGAGUCUGAAUCAGCUUGUGUGUUAGUGGAACGGUCUGGAAAGUCCGACGGUACAGGGUGAUAGUCCCGUACACCAAAAUGCACAGGCUGUGAACUCGAAGAGUAGGGCGGGACACGUGGUAUCCUGUCUGAAUAUGGGGGGACCAUCCUCCAAGGC